rnacentral:rRNA from 1 species
GACGAACGCUGGCGGCGUGCUUAACACAUGCAAGUCGAACGGAAAGGCCUGCUUUCCCUUGUGGAUUGCGGGUACUCGAGUGGCGAACGGGUGAGUAACACGUGAGUGAUCUGCCCCCAACUUGGGUAUAAGCCUGGGAAACUGGGUCUAAUUCCCGAUAGGACUGCAGGGUGGUGCCUGUGGUGGAAAACGAUUUUCUAGUGGUUGGGGAUGAGCUCGCGGCCUAUCAGCUUGUUGGUGGGGUAAUGGCCUACCAAGGCGGCGACGGGUAGCCGGCCUGAGAGGGUGGACGGCCACAUUGGGACUGAGAUACGGCCCAGACUCCUACGGGAGGCAGCAGUGGGGAAUAUUGAACAAUGGGCGGAAGCCUGAUGCAGCGACGCCGCGGGGGGGAUGACGGCCUUCGGGUUGUAAACUCCUUUCGACCGCGAGGAAGCCACCUGGUUGGAAGGGUGGUGACGGUAGUGGUAGAAGAAGCACCGGCUAACUACGUG